CAUCGACAUUCCAAAUAAAUAUUUUAUUGAACAUUAACUCUUCUUAGAAUGUGUUUGUCAUUUUGUUUGUAGGUUGGGUAGCUACACUGCAGGAUCUCAAUAGAGUUGUUGUAUGGGAAUUCCCAAGUCAAGGCCUGAACCAAUGAUUGAGCACCUGGUGAAGGACAUAGCCAGCCCUGGGAGCACAGAUGAAAGCAAGACACCUGUGUGACCAGAAGGAGUGGAAUCAGGUUCCACUCCUCCCUAAACCUUAUUUAAGGUCUGGUUGCUAAGGGAAGGAUUUCUGCUGGGAGAUCUUCUUUUUGCUGUACUUGACGAGCCCUGAUCUUUGGGAUGACUAAGAACUGAUCAGUGAGGGUGCUUCUGGUGAACUCAGAAAUGCAAAAGAGAAAUCUGACCAUUGCUGUUGGUCUUGAGAAUGCAGAAGGGCCUGAACAGGCAGCAAGCAGGGGCUGAACUGCUGAAGAGUCAUCUGCACUCCUACUGAGAUUGCCAGUAUUGUGUGUGCAUUGUAAAUGGAGGUGAUCAGAUGAGGAAGCAAAAGUCCUCUCCUUCUCAGAGGAAGAUAAACAGGAGCUGAAGUGGCUGAAACACAUGUAGGGAGCUAUCCAGAUUUAAAAUUUAUACUUGAUGUUAAGGUUAAUACUUUAGAUCCAUUUGCAUUGCUACAAGUGUUCAGUAUUACCCAUGGGUUUGGCAGAUGUAAGGAAGCUUGUAAAGGCCCAAACUUUGAGCUCUACACUUAUCUGCUCUCUUUUUAAUUUUUAUUCUAACUUGACCACUGUUAUUUCUCUUUAGAAAAAGUUACACAAUGUUUGUUAUUUGUUGUGAUGCAGUCCAACAAAAGAGAGUUUUCACUGACUCUUUGCUGUUAUCCCUACCAGCUCAGAAACUUAGAGAAGUUGUUUUGAUUGGUAAAUUGAGUACAUCUGGUAUGGGAGUGAGAACAGAAAAGCAUAUACAACUUAAAUUUUUAGUGGAUAUAUAUAUAUGUACACAUGAGAGCAUAUUAGUUCUAUGCAGACUGUAUUCUUAAAAGUUAAGGGUUUUAUGAUUUGUGGUCAGUUCCCUCCUCAACAGCAUCUGUAAGCUUUUGAAUACAUUUAAUUGUACAAAUCUGUGGCUGGAGUGGGUGGUGGUGAAAUAAGUGAUCCUGCCUGAACUUGACAAGGUUGAAAUCUGUAAUUUGAAGCCGAAUAUUAUAAAUGGAACUCAUUGGAAGAAUAAAUCUAUUGUGAUUUCUUUAUGCAUUAGCAGUUACAUCACAAAUAUUUCUCCUUCAUAUUCUUGACAAUAUAACUUCCUAGUGAAUUUUACUUAUUUCCUUAUUCUUCAGUGUUUCAUUAUAAAUUCUCAUCUCCCAGUCAUUUGAGGUUAGUUUCUAAUGCUGUUCUUUUCAUCUGAACAAACUGUAUGUCCACAGUCAAUUCUCCAUGAGUAUUAAUUUUCUUCCCUUACAAAUCUGGUUAAUCUUUUCUGUUUGAGUCCUCAUCUGAUGUCCAUAGAAGGAAACAUAGGAAUCUUUCCAAUAUCUUAGCAUAUGCACAAGAUGCAGAGAUAUUUUCUUCUCACUGCUGAAGCAUUGAACAGAUUCAUGAUCUAAGAGUACUCUGGUAGCAUUUGGCAGCAGAUUUGAAGACUUAUUGCAUUAAAAAAAAAAAAAGUUAAAAUAAGUUAAAAUAUUUUUGUAGAUUGGAUGAUCCAGAUCUAAAGGGCCUUGUCUGCAGUCAUGCCAGCAAAGUUAUACAUGACAAAGUUGGAGAUGACUUUUCUUCCAUUUCAGCCAUUCUUCGAUCUUCAAACGCAAGAGAUAAAGGAGCACUUAAAGCUAUGUUUCACAGAAUAUAUUAUUGGUAAGAGAAGUCGAACAGAAAGGCUUAGAGGCCAUUUUGGAAUCAGCUGUCAGAGGGAGUGAUACCAGCUGCUUUGAAGGAGCUGUUAUUAUUCCUUUGUUCAGGAGACAAUGCUUGACAUUGACAAGUCUUUCCAGUCUUUGCUCUGACUUUAAUGUUCCUCUUUCUGAAACUAUAGCUGGCUAUGUUUAAUUUAGGGAUUCUUACAAAUCUGAAGUGAACCUGGCCUAAAUCCAAGUGUUGUUUGAGAACGUAUGUAAAGUGAUGGAGGCAGCUUAUUUUUUGUUUCCUAAAGUGCCUAUGAUAAUUCAUAUGAAAUGUCACCAUCUCUGACUGUGCUGUGCUCAUGGCAGGUCCUUGGUCCAGCGCCUCCAUUGCUUGUUCAUCACUAUGGACUGCGUAGUAGAUUCAUAAAAGAAAAGGCCCUAAUCUCAUCUUUUCAGGGACUGCCUCACUUGCAAUUUGUAUGACUGAUACUGCUUUUCUUUUUAUGUCUAUUGUAGUCCUGCUCUUACAGGUGACAUUUUCCAGUCUGUCACUGAGUGUUGUUUUAGUUCACAACUUAAAUCUUAGUUUGUCUAGCUUUAACUAGCCAAUCUGAGUUCUCUAACACUACAACUGUGUUCACAUGUUGUGCUUUACAGAUGAUUCUAAAAAUUAGCAGAACAGAAAAAUACAGUCAUUUUAAACAGUGCUAGCAACAAAGUAAACUAACUAACAUAGUACUAACUAACUAACAUAGUACUAACUAGUACUAACAUUUUAUUUUGCUUCUUUUUCUCACAACUUGGCAUCAGACAUCAAAGAGCUUUCAAAAGCUAUUUAAAAAUGUCUUCCUCAAAACACCCAAAACAGACUGUUGUAUCAUUAUAUUUUGCUGACAUUGGCAUAAAGAAGUAUUUAACCUAAGUCCACAAAGUGAAAUUAAAAACAGAACGAAGAAUGGAAUUUCCAAAUUUUUCACUUGCUGACAAGUAGUAAUAUUUAUCUCUCUAGGAAGAAGGAGCUGAGGUGCAUUCUAAAGCAACCAGAACCAGGUGUACAGAAAAGUAAUCCAUCAGAUCACUGGGGCUUCUGCUGAAAUAUUUAAAAUUGUGGGACAUACAAACAGUUUCCUUCAGAAUAUCUGACAGUUUGUAAUUUAUUCUUACAUUUAAAGUGCACUUACAUUUAUUGCAGAAUAUCUCAACUGCAUUGGAAUUAUGGUAUGUGGCAGGAGUCCAAACCAAAAGUGACCAGAUGAAACUGCAGCUUUCAUAUAAUCUCUUACUGAGGGGGGGAAAGGAAUCCUUAUGAUUUUAUUCUGAACGAGAUUUUCUAUGGUUCUUGUUUCAUACCAGAAGUUUGGGUCUUUUGAUGCAUUUUUUAAAAUUCACACAAAUCAGGAAAUUUUCAGUCACUCACUUCUACUCUUUUGUGAGCAAUAAGAGACUUUAUUAUGUAAAUACAUAUUGUAUCUGCAUAGUGCAAGUGGACAUUGUAGAGUCCCAUUUAACUUUUGUUAU